GAGGCUUAGAGGAUUGAGAAUGCUUAAUUGAUGGAAAGUAGGAGCUGUUACUCCCCCAUCUCCUCUACUCAGCAAAACUAAGGAAGCAAGCAAGCCCAUUCAAACAGUAGCUAUUGCCUUAAAAUGCCAACCUCAAGGAAGAGCUCAUUCCCAAGUGUGAAGGAAAUCUUCACAUCCCUGUUCCAGCAUUUCCUGCUCUGAUAUGUGUAUGCCCUUCUAAUUGGAAAUGUCGAGGAAUCACCUUCCAAUGGCUUUCCAUAACCACUAAAUAAGCAGCCGCUGUCACUGGGUGAGAUGCAUAUCCUGUCUCCUUCGUCCAGAAAGGGUCCUGUCCACUGCUUCCGGGGUCUAGUCGGGAGCGGCACUGUGCUGGGUGCCUUCCAUGAUCCCGCGCACAGCCAACUCCAUUUAAAGCGGUGAUUAUUAAACACUGUGGCUAAUUUAAUCAUCAUCCUUGCUGUUCUGUGAUGCCGCUGGCAGGGUGGCUAUCUGAGGCCUCCCAGGUCACCCUCCCGUGACGAGGGGAGACAGGUGCUGUGCCCACACCGAGGGCCGUCAGUGCGUGGGUGACGACCACACCUGGCAGGGCCGCAGAGCGCCUCGGAUGUGGGCUGUGGCCAGCAGCGCGCAGCAGAGGGAGCCCGGGCAUCUGUGCUGCAUUCCCAGCCCGGCUGAAGUUCCAGCAGCGCCCGCCGGCCCCUCAGCUCCACUGCGAUGCGCCUGCCGCGGUGAGGAGGGAGAGAGCCCAUUUUGCUUUCUUAGAGCAGGGGUGAGCAAUGAGCUCGCCGAGGAAUUUGGCAAGGAGACGGGAGCGGAAGGCAGUCGGGUGCCGGCAGACAAGUUGUGAGAUCCUUGCGGCGGCUCCCGGGGGGAGCAGCGGCUGACAAGACAGGGCUGGCGGGCUGCAGACCAGAGGGCGCCCCGCAGCACUGGAGCCUGACGCAGCCCCUGCUCCUGCUGCCUGUGGCUGAAUAAAGGGAGGAAGCUGGAGACACAAUUGCCAGUGAGCAAGCAAGCCAGGGAGCAGUGUUCCUAAAAGGAGAACACAGGCUCCAGAGGAGGGAGGGUGACCCUCUGCCUGCAAGGCUGCCUUUAAAGGAGAAUCCCUCAGGAGGUCUGAUGAAAAAUAUGGUGAAUGAUGCUGCUGAGGGCCAUCCAGUGGAAAGGCAGCUUGUAAAAUAUUACAGUGAGCCCUCCUCCACCUUAUUCACUGAACCUAGCACUGUGUGACUUCUGGCUCUUCCCCAAGUCAAAAUGACUAUAAAAGGUAAAUGUUUUGAAUUGAUUCAAGACAUGCAGGCAGCCACGUAGGAAAGAGGAUUCCAGAGCUGCUUCAGAACAUGGCUGGAGGGAUGAGAUCAGUGUGUUCAAAGUGAAGGGCAGGGUUUUGAGGGGAAUUCUUGACAAUGUGUCUUUUACU
rnacentral:lncRNA from 1 species